rnacentral:rRNA from 1 species
GUGGGGAAUAUUGGACAAUGGGGGGAACCCUGAUCCAGCCAUGCCGCGUGUGUGAAGAAGGCCUUUUGGUUGUAAAGCACUUUAAGCGAGGAGGAGGCUACCGAGAUUAAUACUCUUGGAUAGUGGACGUUACUCGCAGAAUAAGCACCGGCUAACUCUGUGCCAGCAGCCGCGGUAAUACAGAGGGUGCAAGCGUUAAUCGGAUUUACUGGGCGUAAAGCGCGCGUAGGUGGCCAAUUAAGUCAAAUGUGAAAUCCCCGAGCUUAACUUGGGAAUUGCAUUCGAUACUGGUUGGCUAGAGUAUGGGAGAGGAUGGUAGAAUUCCAGGUGUAGCGGUGAAAUGCGUAGAGAGCUGGAGGAAUACCGAUGGCGAAGGCAGCCAUCUGGCCUAAUACUGACACUGAGGUGCGAAAGCAUGGGGAGCAAACAGGAUUAGAAACCCGGGUAGUCC